AUGCUCCACCAAACGCUCAUCCCUUCUUCCCUUGCCUUCUCCGCCUCCGCUUCCCCUUCCCCCGACCCUCUCCCCUUCGCCUCGAACGCCGCCGCCGCCGCCGCCGCCGCGACCCCCCUUCGCUCCUCAGCCAUGCCGUCCUACGCGCACCACCACAGCUCUCUGGACGAGAGGAUGGACGCCCUCAAGGGCAGUAGCCGCGAGGAGGAGACGCCCGACGAGGCCGCCGCCGAGGCGCCGGCGGCCUGGGGCUUCGCCGAGAGGGACGGCUUCUCCGUCGAGGACCUGCUGGACCUCGAGGAGUUCUGCGAGCCGGAUAGGGACGGCGCCGACGAGCCCGAGGAGGCUCCGGCCGCCGCCGUGAAAGAAGAGAAGUUGAACGACGGGCCCAACCAGUCCGUCGUGUCGUAUGAGCUCGCCCCUCCGGCGCCGCCAGCGCCGGAGAUUGUUGACCUGCCGGCGCAUGACGUCGAGGAGGAGCUCGAGUGGGUGUCCCGUAUCAUGGACGACUCGCUCUCCGAGCUCCCCCCGCAGCCGGCGCCGCCCGCGUCGAUGAUGGCGUCGUUGGCGCCACGCCCGCCGCAGCACCGGCUACCCCAGCGGCACCCGCAGGAUGGAGCGUACCGUGCUCUGCCGUCUAUGUCCGACCCUAUGCGGACUCCGACCAUAUGCGCGCUGUCCACGGAGGCGCUGGUCCCGGUCAAGGCGAAGCGCAGCAAGCGCUCUAGGGCGUCGGGGUGGUCGCUCUCGGGCCCCGCGCCGGACUCCACGUCGUCCUCGUCGACCACCACCACCUCCUCGUGCUCCUCGUCGGCCUCCUUCUCGCCCUACUUCCUGCUGGACACGCCGCACUUCGGCGCCUCGGAGCUCAUGGAGGAGUACAACAUCCUGCCGCCGCCGCCCAAGAAGUCCAAGCACGGCAAGAGCAGCAAGCAGAAGGCCAAGAAGCGCGGCCGCAAGCCCAAGAACCUCCCCGCACCCUCCAGCGCCAUGGAGGCCGCCACCCAGAGCGACCGGCGCUGCAGCCACUGCGGCGUGCAGAAGACCCCGCAGUGGCGCGCGGGGCCGGAGGGCGCCAAGACGCUGUGCAACGCGUGCGGCGUGCGCUACAAGUCCGGCCGGCUCCUCCCCGAGUACCGGCCGGCGUGCAGCCCGACGUACGUGAGCAGCGUCCACUCCAACUCCCACCGCAAGGUGCUCGAGAUGAGGCGCAAGAAGGAGGACGGCCCCCUCACAGUCACCGCCACCGCGCCCGCCGUGGCGUCGUUCUAG
rnacentral:rRNA from 1 species